GAAGAUGAUGACGAUGAAGAGACCACAUCUGCUGUGACAGAAGUGGACAAUGUUGGUAGAUCCACUGAGUACAUACCUAGGGAUUUGCCCACAGAUGAAGGUCCUUCAACCUCAGCACACAAUCUAAGCAGGUUGCCAGCAAAGGAGCUGUAUAAGGUCCAUCUUUAAAAACAAAUAAGAAAAAGUGACAUGGAGAUGGACCUUAUACCGCUUCAAAUGGAAGAGAAAAGACUCCUCAUUAAAAAAGCAGCACUGGAAAUUGAAUUACUGGAGCAUCGCCUUAAGGAAAUAAAGAAAUAAACUGCCUGGCAGACCAGUGAAAAAAAUUAAUAAAAGUGAUUUUGACAGACCCUGUCUCUCAAAAGUCUUCUGUCUCUGUUGGCCUCUAAAAUCUGUAGGUGUUCCUCUGGGCCAUCUUUCUCAAUACAAGGAGGGUGGCUCUCUUCUCUUAUAGUGGCAAUAUUGUGAAGCACAACACACGCUACUAUAAUGUCGCAUGCCCUCUCUGGACUAACCCGGAGCCCACGCAGACUCUGAAACUGAGAUUUGAGGAUCCCUAUAGUCAUCUCCACCUUGGCCCGUGUUCGGCUGUGAGGCAGGUUAAACCGUGUCUGUGGUCCAGGCUCAGGUUCAGGGUAGGGUGUCAUUAAAUAGGGCAGACAAGGAUCCUCUGUCCCCCAGCAAGUAACCAUUGUACUGUCCUGUAAUGAUUGAAAUGUACAACACAAAUGUAGUAAAAAGGAAAAAAAAAAAAACAAUUGUAUAAAGCAAAACAUACCCUGCUGAAAUGUCUGGUAAAUUCUUGCAUCAUGCACAGAUCCUGGACAUUUUGCCUCAACAUUGGUAAUGAUUUGGGUUGCCUCACAU